GAGCAUGUAGCUCAGUUGGAUAGAGCUUCAGAUUCCGGUUCUGAGAGUCGGGGGUUCGAAUCCCUCCAUGCUCG
rnacentral:tRNA from 1 species